rnacentral:lncRNA from 1 species
GGAAGCUACAAUUCGUAGCUUUUGAAACUGUUUCUAAAACCUGACCCAAAAAGAAACUGCUUCUAAAAAACACGGGGCAAGUUAAAUGAAUUAUUUUCAACUACCCCGUUAUAUCCUCUAUUCUGAAUUCAUUCCAAGCAUCUCCAUUCACAUAAGGGUGAUAAGGCACACAUAAGACUUUUCCUUUAACAGUUUUUCUUUAAUUCACCAAACAUGAUCAAAUCUAAAAGGCUUUUUAGCCAAAUUGUUAUCCUACAUUUCACCUAGUGUCGAUUUGUUACUUUAGUUUUCAUUUCAGCCAAUUUGCUACCCUAACUAUUAUUUCUACCAAUUUGCUAGCUAUCUUAUGUUUUCAAAAUUAGCCAACUUGCUACUUUUUUGUCAUUUUAUUUUGUUCAUUUUUUUCAUCCAAACAUGAAUUAAUUCUGAAAGUCAAAGGUUAAAGUUGGUCGAUAUUGAAAUUUUGAUAAGUAAAUUGGUUGAAAUGAAAGAUAGGGUAGCAAAUUGAUGAGAAAUUUUUCAGUGCUUCCGAAUGACCAUGUGGCAGUCUGACGUGGUUCUCAAUUCCAUUCAAAUUUCGACAUGUGGAUUUUCAUGAUGAAAAACUAUUUUAGUGAUUUUGUCAAAGACCAUUUUGGGUUUCUUGUUGAUUUUUUAAACCCUAAACCCUAUACCCUAAACCUAUACCUUAACCAUAUACCUUAUACCAUAACCCCUAAAUCUUAUACCCUAAACCCUAGGCCAAACUCAUAAAAGACCCAUGACGGUCAUUUCACAAGAUAUGAAAAACCUUAGUUUAUAUUUUAGUUGUAAUAAAUCCGCGUGUCAAAAUUUAAUUGGCAAGGGAGGACCACGUCAGACUGCCACAUGAUCCUUUAGGAGCACUGAAAACCCACUUUCAAAACACGUGACCAAAUUUAAAAACACAAAAAACCCACUUUCAUUAAUUUUUAUACAAUUUAGGACAUGAGCCCAACCCAAAACUAAUAGGAUUAGGCCUGAUCCGAAUUUUACCUAUCAAAUGAUCAUAAUACCCUCUCAUCCCAAACUUUUUUCUCACUCUCUUCCCUUCUCCAUUUUUUUCUUCCAUAUUUGCUCCCAUCUCUCUCUCUCU